rnacentral:rRNA from 1 species
ACCUGAAACCGUGUACGUACAAGCAGUGGGAGCCUCUUAAUGGGGUGACUGCGUACCUUUUGUAUAAUGGGUCAGCGACUUAUAUUCUGUAGCAAGGUUAACCGAAUAGGGGAGCCGAAGGGAAACCGAGUCUUAACUGGGCGUUAAGUUGCAGGGUAUAGACCCGAAACCCGGUGAUCUAGCCAUGGGCAGGUUGAAGGUUGGGUAACACUAACUGGAGGACCGAACCGACUAAUGUUGAAAAAUUAGCGGAUGACUUGUGGCUGGGGGUGAAAGGCCAAUCAAACCGGGAGAUAGCUGGUUCUCCCCGAAAGCUAUUUAGGUAGCGCCUCGUGAAUUCAUCUCCGGGGGUAGAGCACUGUUUCGGCAAGGGGGUCAUCCCGACUUACCAACCCGAUGCAAACUGCGAAUACCGGAGAAUGUUAUCACGGGAGACACACGGCGGGUGCUAACGUCCGUCGUGAAGAGGGAAACAACCCAGACCGCCAGCUAAGGUCCCAAAGUCAUGGUUAAGUGGGAAACGAUGUGGGAAGGCCCAGACAGCCAGGAUGUUGGCUUAGAAGCAGCCAUCAUUUAAAGAAAGCGUAAUAGCUCACUGGUCGAGUCGGCCUGCGCGGAAGAUGUAACGGGGCUAAACCAUGCACCGAAGCUGCGGCAGCGACACUAUGUGUUGUUGGGUAGGGGAGCGUUCUGUAAGCCUGUGAAGGUGGCCUGUGAGGGUUGCUGGAGGUAUCAGAAGUGCGAAUGCUGACAUAAGUAACGAUAAAGCGGGUGAAAAGCCCGCUCGCCGGAAGACCAAGGGUUCCUGUCCAACGUUAAUCGGGGCAGGGUGAGUCGACCCCUAAGGCGAGGCCGAAAGGCGUAGUCGAUGGGAAACAGGUUAAUAUUCCUGUACUUGGUGUUACUGCGAAGGGGGGACGGAGAAGGCUAUGUUGGCCGGGCGACGGUUGUCCCGGUUUAAGCGUGUAGGCUGGUUUUCCAGGCAAAUCCGGAAAACCAAGGCUGAGGCGUGAUGACGAGGCACUACGGUGCUGAAGCGACAAAUGCCCUGCUUCCAGGAAAAGCCUCUAAGCAUCAGGUAACAUCAAAUCGUACCCCAAACCGACACAGGUGGUCAGGUAGAGAAUACCAAGGCGCUUGAGAGAACUCGGGUGAAGGAACUAGGCAAAAUGGUGCCGUAACUUCGGGAGAAGGCACGCUGAUAUGUAGGUGAAGCGACUUGCUCGUGGAGCUGAAAUCAGUCGAAGAUACCAGCUGGCUGCAACUGUUUAUUAAAAACACAGCACUGUGCAAACACGAAAGUGGACGUAUACGGUGUGACGCCUGCCCGGUGCCGGAAGGUUAAUUGAUGGGGUUAGCGGUAACGCGAAGCUCUUGAUCGAAGCCCCGGUAAACGGCGGCCGUAACUAUAACGGUCCUAAGGUAGCGAAAUUCCUUGUCGGGUAAGUUCCGACCUGCACGAAUGGCGUAAUGAUGGCCAGGCUGUCUCCACCCGAGACUCAGUGAAAUUGAACUCGCUGUGAAGAUGCAGUGUACCCGCGGCAAGACGGAAAGACCCCGUGAACCUUUACUAUAGCUUGACACUGAACAUUGAGCCUUGAUGUGUAGGAUAGGUGGGAGGCUUUGAAGUGUGGACGCCAGUCUGCAUGGAGCCGACCUUGAAAUACCACCCUUUAAUGUUUGAUGUUCUAACGUUGGCCCGUAAUCCGGGUUGCGGACAGUGUCUGGUGGGUAGUUUGACUGGGGCGGUCUCCUCCUAAAGAGUAACGGAGGAGCACGAAGGUUGGCUAAUCCUGGUCGGACAUCAGGAGGUUAGUGCAAUGGCAUAAGCCAGCUUGACUGCGAGCGUGACGGCGCGAGCAGG